CAGCAGCCGCGGUAAUACGAGGGGGGCAAGCGUUGUUCGGAAUUAUUGGGCGUAAAGGGCUCGCAGGCGGUUUCUUAAGUCUGAUGUGAAAGCCCCCGGCUCGACCGGGGAGGGUCAUUGGAAACUGGGAAACUUGAGUGCAGAAGAGGAGAGUGGAAUUCCGCGUGUAGCGGUGAAAUGCGUAGAGAUGUGGAGGAACACCAGUGGCGAAGGCGACUCUCUGGUCUGUAACUGACGCUGAGGAGCGAAAGCGUGGGGAGCGAACAGGAUUAGAUACCCCCGUAGUCCCUGUCUCUUAUAC
rnacentral:rRNA from 1 species